CGAAUGGGGAAACCCAGCAUGAGUUAUGUCAUGUUAUCGAUAUGUGAAUACAUAGCAUAUCAGAAGGCACACCCGGAGAACUGAAACAUCUUAGUACCCGGAGGAAGAGAAAGAAAAUUCGAUUCCCUUAGUAGCGGCGAGCGAAACGGGAAGAGCCCAAACCAACAAGCUUGCUUGUUGGGGUUGUAGGACACUCUAUACGGAGUUACAAAGGACGACAUUAGACGAAUCAUCUGGAAAGAUGAAUCAAAGAAGGUAAUAAUCCUGUAGUCGAAAAUGUUGUCUCUCUUGAGUGGAUCCUGAGUACGACGGAGCACGUGAAAUUCCGUCGGAAUCUGGGAGGACCAUCUCCUAAGGCUAAAUACUCUCUAGUGACCGAUAGUGAACCAGUACCGUGAGGGAAAGGUGAAAAGCACCCCGGAAGGGGAGUGAAAUAGAACCUGAAACCGUGUGCUUACAAGUAGUCAGAGCCCGUUAAUGGGUGAUGGCGUGCCUUUUGUAGAAUGAACCGGCGAGUUACGAUUUGAUGCAAGGUUAAGCAGUAAAUGUGGAGCCGUAGCGAAAGCGAGUCUGAAUAGGGCGUUUAGUAUUUGGUCGUAGACCCGAAACCAGGUGAUCUACCCUUGGUCAGGUUGAAGUUCAGGUAACACUGAAUGGAGGACCGAACCGACUUACGUUGAAAAGUGAGCGGAUGAACUGAGGGUAGCGGAGAAAUUCCAAUCGAACCUGGAGAUAGCUGGUUCUCUCCGAAAUAGCUUUAGGGCUAGCCUCAAGUGAUGAUUAUUGGAGGUAGAGCACUGUUUGGACGAGGGGCCCCUCUCGGGUUACCGAAUUCAGACAAACUCCGAAUGCCAAUUAAUUUAACUUGGGAGUCAGAACAUGGGUGAUAAGGUCCGUGUUCGAAAGGGAAACAGCCCAGACCACCAGCUAAGGUCCCAAAAUAUAUGUUAAGUGGAAAAGGAUGUGGCGUUGCCCAGACAACUAGGAUGUUGGCUUAGAAGCAGCCAUCAUUUAAAGAGUGCGUAAUAGCUCACUAGUCGAGUGACACUGCGCCGAAAAUGUACCGGGGCUAAACAUAUUACCGAAGCUGUGGAUUGUCCUUUGGACAAUGGUAGGAGAGCGUUCUAAGG
rnacentral:rRNA from 1 species